UACGGGGGGGGCAAGCGUUGUUCGGAAUUACUGGGCGUAAAGGGCGCGUAGGCGGCCUGCUAAGUCGGACGUGAAAUCCCUCGGCUCAACCGGGGAACUGCGUCCGAUACUGGUGGGCUCGAAUCCGGGAGAGGGAUGUGGAAUUCCAGGUGUAGCGGUGAAAUGCGUAGAUAUCUGGAGGAACACCGGUGGCGAAGGCGACGUCCUGGACCGGCAUUGACGCUGAGGCGCGAAAGCCAGGGGAGCAAACGGG
rnacentral:rRNA from 1 species